GCGAAUUAUGAAGUUUAUCCUUCGAGGAAUGCAAAUAAAAGUUCCAGAUACUUUAAUAUGCCAAAGAGGUCCAGAUCUCUUUCUCCCUUUAAAGAAGCCAUUACUUUUUCACCCCAAGAUUCUCAACGACGUUCUGAGCGAGAAGAUAUUUAUCACAAAAGAAAAGAAGACAUAUACAAGAGAAAAUCAUUGCUGCAACAGAAUUUACUUGAUAACGGACAUAAGCAAACAGAAAUGACGCAACCAGCUGGAGAAAAGUUGGUGCAAAUAUUUAAAUUGUUACGGAAAAAGGACUUAUUUGCAUACCUAAUAUAUAUAAAUAUUUGUUAGAAUUUAGAGUGCAAGUGCUAAGAAAAUUCAAUAUAAUAAAUAUAAAAGUUAAUGAUUUGGAGAUCACAAUAGAGAAUUUAAAAAUACCUCAAAUAUACCAGAAAAUGAAGAAAUGCUAUUUGAAGAUUUUAUUAAUUUAUUUCCAUGGGAUAUAGAAAAACUUAAUACACUGGAAAAUGUGCUGCUGAAUCAAAAUGAGAUGAAAAAGUUGACAAAGUACUUAAGUCGUGUAGGGGGUAGUGACGUAUCUGAAAUUGUCAAAAGAUUGAUGUACAAGAUAUUCACUAAUGAACUUGGAACUUUAUUUAGUUGGGAUGGUGCAAAGGGCAAGUUAAAAUUUAAACAUUUAAGAAUUGCCACUGUAAUUUUAGAUACUGUGCGAAAUAAUCCAUCCACAAAAGAUUCAACGGAAGCAGAUGUUAUAAUACAUGUAAAGAAAUGGUUAGUCCGAGCAAAGGAGAGAAUACAUUUGGAAAACAAACAAAAAAG